rnacentral:rRNA from 1 species
AUACGGAGGGUGCAAGCGUUACUCGGAAUCACUGGGCGUAAAGCGCGCGCAGGCGGCUAUUUAAGUUGGAUGUGAAAGCCUACGGCUCAACCGUAGAACUGCAUCCAAAACUAUUUAGCUAGAGUGUGGGAGAGGAAGAUGGAAUUAGUUGUGUAGGGGUAAAAUCCGUAGAGAUAACUAGGAAUACCAAAAGCGAAGGCAAUCUUCUGGAACACUACUGACGCUGAGGCGCGAAAGCGUGGGGGGCAAACAGGAUUAGAAACCCGAGUAGUCC